rnacentral:rRNA from 1 species
GAUGAACGCUGGCGGCGUGCCUAAUACAUGCAAGUCGAGCGAAUGGAUUAAGAGCUUGCUCUUAUGAAGUUAGCGGCGGACGGGUGAGUAACACGUGGGUAACCUGCCCAUAAGACUGGGAUAACUCCGGGAAACCGGGGCUAAUACCGGAUAACAUUUUGAACCGCAUGGUUCGAAAUUGAAAGGCGGCUUCGGCUGUCACUUAUGGAUGGACCCGCGUCGCAUUAGCUAGUUGGUGAGGUAACGGCUCACCAAGGCAACGAUGCGUAGCCGACCUGGGAGGGUGAUCGGCCACACUGGGACUGAGACACGGCCCAGACUCCUACGGGAGGCAGACGUAGGGAGUCUUCCGCAAUGGACGAAAGUCUGACGGAGCAACGCCGCGUGAGUGAUGAAGGCUUUCGGGUCGUAAAACUCUGUUGUUAGGGAAGAACAAGUGCUAGUUGAAUAAGCUGGCACCUUGACGGUACCUAACCAGAAAGCCACGGCUAACUACGUGCCAGCAGCCGCCGUAA